CUCAGAUUGAACGCUGGCGGCAGGCCUAACACAUGCAAGUCGAGCGGUAGCACAGAGAGCUUGCUCUCGGGUGACGAGCGGCGGACGGGUGAGUAAUGUCUGGGAAACUGCCUGAUGGAGGGGGAUAACUACUGGAAACGGUAGCUAAUACCGCAUAACGUCGCAAGACCAAAGUGGGGGACCUUCGGGCCUCAUGCCAUCAGAUGUGCCCAGAUGGGAUUAGCUAGUAGGUGGGGUAACGGCUCACCUAGGCGACGAUCCCUAGCUGGUCUGAGAGGAUGACCAGCCACACUGGAACUGAGACACGGUCCAGACUCCUACGGGAGGCAGCAGUGGGGAAUAUUGCACAAUGGGCGCAAGCCUGAUGCAGCCAUGCCGCGUGUGUGAAGAAGGCCUUCGGGUUGUAAAGCACUUUCAGCGGGGAGGAAGGCGGUGAGGUUAAUAACCUCAUCGAUUGACGUUACCCGCAGAAGAAGCACCGGCUAACUCCGUGCCAGCAGCCGCGGUAAUACGGAGGGUGCAAGCGUUAAUCGGAAUUACUGGGCGUAAAGCGCACGCAGGCGGUCUGUCAAGUCGGAUGUGAAAUCCCCGGGCUCAACCUGGGAACUGCAUUCGAAACUGGCAGGCUAGAGUCUUGUAGAGGGGGGUAGAAUUCCAGGUGUAGCGGUGAAAUGCGUAGAGAUCUGGAGGAAUACCGGUGGCGAAGGCGGCCCCCUGGACAAAGACUGACGCUCAGGUGCGAAAGCGUGGGGAGCAAACAGGAUUAGAUACCCUGGUAGUCCACGCUGUAAACGAUGUCGAUUUGGAGGUUGUGCCCUUGAGGCGUGGCUUCCGGAGCUAACGCGUUAAAUCGACCGCCUGGGGAGUACGGCCGCAAGGUUAAAACUCAAAUGAAUUGACGGGGGCCCGCACAAGCGGUGGAGCAUGUGGUUUAAUUCGAUGCAACGCGAAGAACCUUACCUGGUCUUGACAUCCACAGAACUUUCCAGAGAUGGAUUGGUGCCUUCGGGAACUGUGAGACAGGUGCUGCAUGGCUGUCGUCAGCUCGUGUUGUGAAAUGUUGGGUUAAGUCCCGCAACGAGCGCAACCCUUAUCCUUUGUUGCCAGCGGUCCGGCCGGGAACUCAAAGGAGACUGCCAGUGAUAAACUGGAGGAAGGUGGGGAUGACGUCAAGUCAUCAUGGCCCUUACGACCAGGGCUACACACGUGCUACAAUGGCAUAUACAAAGAGAAGCGACCUCGCGAGAGCAAGCGGACCUCAUAAAGUAUGUCGUAGUCCGGAUUGGAGUCUGCAACUCGACUCCAUGAAGUCGGAAUCGCUAGUAAUCGUAGAUCAGAAUGCUACGGUGAAUACGUUCCCGGGCCUUGUACACACCGCCCGUCACACCAUGGGAGUGGGUUGCAAAAGAAGUAGGUAGCUUAACCUUCGGGAGGGCGC
rnacentral:rRNA from 1 species